rnacentral:rRNA from 1 species
UAAUACGUAGGGGGCUAGCGUUGUCCGGAAUCAUUGGGCGUAAAGCGCGUGUAGGCGGUCCGGUAAGUCCGCUGUGAAAGUCGGGGGCUCAACCCUCGGAUGCCGGUGGAUACUGUCGGGCUUGAGUACGGAAGAGGCGAGUGGAAUUCCUGGUGUAGCGGUGAAAUGCGCAGAUAUCAGGAGGAACACCAAUUGCGAAGGCAGCUCGCUGGGACGUUACUGACGCUGAGACGCGAAAGCGUGGGGAGCAAACAGGAUUAGAUACCCUGGUAGUCCACGCUGUAAACGAUGGGCACUAGGUGUGGGGGGUGUCGACUCCCUCCGUGCCGAAGCUAACGCAUUAAGUGCCCCGCCUGGGGAGUACGGCCGCAAGGCUA